AUGAACCGAGGCUUCUCACCGCCCGUCUCUAAGUUCUUCAGGGACAUUCUGCACUUUUUCGACCUGUAUCCUCAAGACAUCGGACCCAAUUCCGUGUCUAAUAUAUGCAAUUUUCAAGUAUUCUGCGAAGUCCAUCUUCAAGAGGAGCCCACUACGGAAUUAUUCAGAGAGUACUUCUAUUUAAACCGCCAGAAUGAGUAUUCCAACGGACCCAGUUUGGAACUUGGUGGGAUCUCAAUCCAACGACGGAGAGAUUCUAUUUUCCCGUAUGCACACCUGCCGAGUCACCCCAAAAGACUGGAAUUAGACAUUGUUCUACUGUAA
rnacentral:rRNA from 1 species